rnacentral:rRNA from 1 species
AGCGAACGCUGGCGGCAGGCCUAACACAUGCAAGUCGAACGAAGUCUUCGGACUUAGUGGCGGACGGGUGAGUAACACGUGGGAACGUGCCUUUAGGUUCGGAAUAACUCAGGGAAACUUGUGCUAAUACCGAAUGUGCCCUUCGGGGGAAAGAUUUAUCGCCUUUAGAGCGGCCCGCGUCUGAUUAGCUAGUUGGCGAGGUAAAGGCUCACCAAGGCGACGAUCAGUGGCUGGUCUGAGAGGAUGAUCAGCCACAUUGGGACUGAGACACGGCCCAAACUCCUACGGGAGGCAGCAGUGGGGAAUCUUGCGCAAUGGGCGAAAGCCUGACGCAGCCAUGCCGUGUGAAUGAUGAAGGUCUUAGGAUUGUAAAAUUCUUUCACCGGGGACGGUAAUGACGGUACCCGGAGAAGAAGCCCCGGCUAACUUCGUGCCAGCCGCCGCCGUAA